CAACCCAAGUCGACACGGCUCCGACGCGCCAUUAUGUGCGUACACACACACGCAUGUAUUAAUCUCUUAUUCAUCAUUUUUUUAUACAUAAAUGAAUUGGCGUGUCGUUUGAAGCGAUCUGAUUAUACGUGUCAUAAAUUGUUUUAAGAAUUUCUUAUGAAUUACGAUCAAAAUCGAACAAACAGAUUGCAAAAGCCUCUGACGUUUGUAUCUUCUGCGUUUUGAUCGCUGAUUGGACCAGAGAAGUUAGCCAUCGUUGUUGAAAUGAUUCGGAUGUCGAAAUUUUGAGGAAAAAAAGGAAAAUUCAUCAAAACCUUUUUAGAUUUUAUCCGAUUACCUCGAUUGUAGCAAAACACAGAGUUUUGUUUUUGUUUUUAGGGGUAUUUAUCAUUAUUUGGUUGUUGUUGUUGGUUUUGGAUAAGGAAUAUUAUGGUUUUGGAUCUAAACGAUAUGUCAAGGAGGGAGCAUCGGCAAGAUCAACAAUCUAGGGUUUUCUACGAGCUAUCGGCUUUAAUUUUGAACAUACUCCGGUAUCCUCCGACGCCGAUCCAAUACUCUGAUUCUGAUGAAGUAUCUACGUCUUCCCGAAGGCAGCCUCAACGGCAUCCGUUAACGCAACUAACGCCGGCGGGGUUCGCAUCGUUGCUAUUGGGGAUAUCAUUGUCGUUGAUGUUGUGUGGAUCGAUAACGUUCUUCAUAGGGUUCUUAUUGAUGCCUUGGGUGCUUGGCUUGGUUUUGGUGUUUUAUGUUGUUGGGAUUAUUUCGACUCUAGCGAUGCUCGGUCGCGCCAUUUUUUUCCAUACUUUUUCUCCUAAAAAAGGCGUUCCUGCGUGGAAACUGUUGUGAACAAAGGCUAUAGACCAUCGAGUUACACCAACAGCCGCUGCUUUCUUGAUGCAGCACUCCGGAAGGGGUUAUUAGUUAUAAAGAUAGAGAUAUAUUACUGGAACUGUGCAUAAAUGGAUACACGGACUUCUACUCUGUUUUAAAAUAUUCAACUAGAAUUUAGUACAACACAAACACAUGAAAUGGAGGAUUUCUGUUUCUUGAAAACAAUGUUAUUAGAGGUGACCUGAAAAACAGUCUUUUUCUGGGUAAUGUUGGGUUUGGGUGCCUAUGAUUUAUGAAAAUGUGUAAUUUGUUA